rnacentral:rRNA from 1 species
GCCCAAGAGAUCGGGAUAACACCUGGAAACAGAUGCUAAUACCGGAUAACAAUAGAUGAUGCCUAUCAACUGUUUAAAAGAUGGUUCUGCUAUCACUCUUGGAUGGACCUGCGGUGCAUUAGCUAGUUGGUAGGGUAACGGCCUACCAAGGCGAUGAUGCAUAGCCGAGUUGAGAGACUGAUCGGCCACAUUGGGACUGAGACACGGCCCAAACUCCUACGGGAGGCAGCAGCU